GACGAGGGGUCCAAGCGUUGUUCGGAAUUAUUGGGCGUAAAGCGGGUGUAGGUGGCUCUAUAAGUCAGGAGUGAAAUCCCCCGGCUUAACCUGGGAACUGCGUCUGAUACUGGUUGGCUUGAGUUUGGGAGAGGGAUGCGGAAUUCCAGGUGUAGCGGUGAAAUGCGUAGAUAUCUGGAGGAACACCGGUGGCGAAGGCGGCAUCCUGGACCAACACUGACGCUGAGGAGCGAAAGCCAGGGGAGCAAACGGG
rnacentral:rRNA from 1 species